AUUCGCUUUGAUCCUGAGAACCCGCAGACCCUGAGGCUAGAGUUUGCCAAAGCCAACACCAAGAUGGCCAAGAAUAAGCUAAUGGCUACACCAAAUCCUACCAACACUCACCCCGCCCUAGGAGCACACUUCAUCGCUCGGGACCCCUAUGACCUGAUGGGGGCCGCUCUGAUCCCUGCAUCCCCCGAGGCCUGGGCCCCCUACCCUCUGUACACCACAGAGCUGACCCCAGUAAUCUCACAUGCUGCAUUCACAUACCCAGCUGCCACUGCUGCUGCCGCCGCCACCCUCCAUACUCAGGUGCGCUGGUACCCUUCCUCUGAUACCACCCAGCAAGGAUGGAAAUAUCGCCAGUUCUGUUAGUUCUUCCGCCUUGUCACCACAGCUGGGGAGGAAGCCACCCUUAAACUCCCACUGCCCCCAGGCGGCCGUGCAGAGAUGCUGCUUCCCGCCAAAGACUGUGAAUUUUAAGCCUGACUCAGUGGACUCUUUCCUGUUCCCUUUCUCUCCUCUUCCUCAGCCCAUCCUGCCCCAGAGCCCCUCUCCAAGGCCUCGCAGCAGGAUUCCGGGGCCUUCUCGCUGGGACACCCUGGCCCAGCUCGGAGGCCUCGUUGGGACUGAGCAAGGCCCGACCUCCAGGCCAAAUUUGCUUCCAUAGCUCCACCUCAGAGCAACGAGGCAUUUAAUUUUGCAUGUUUUCUGGCAUGAAUUAAGACACUUCAACUUGUGUAUAUGUGAGUGUACAGUUUGUUCUCACAUUGUGUCACCAUAGCAACAGAUCCUGACCACUAUGGCUCAUCAUCCCCCGCCCCCUCCCCACACCCCUUCCAGGCACCCACCCUGCUUCAGUGAGGACCAAGCCCUGCAGCCCAGCCUGNNNNNNNNNNNNNNNNNNNNNNNNNNNNNNNNNNNNNNNNNNNNCCCCACCCCACCCUUCCAGGCUGAACAGGAAGGACCACCCAGCCGAGAGAGAGCAUUUUUUUUGUGGUCAUUUCAAAUCGGGGUCCUCUGCUUCCUCCUCCUCAGAUGGGCCCAUUUUGCUUACUUCCACGCUGCACCCCCGCCCCCUGCCAUGACUCCUCAUUCUUUCCAAACUUCAAAACCAACCAAAAAGUUAAAGUAUUUUUGUACCCUGUGUAACAAAAUAUUUAUGCAUCAUAAAGGAUUUUUUCGUGUGUGUGUGCGAUUAAUUAUUGAAGAGACCUUGUCUGCCCUGUCAGUUAAGUUUAACGUUUAGUUGGAGGCAUGAAGAAGAAAAGGGUUUCCGUUCUCUAGCAGUGAGCCUUAGCGUCAGCUGUUAGUUUAGGGAAAAUGAAGGAAAAAUUGUGCAAUUUUUUUGUUUUGUGAGCACAUCGGUGCUGUGCCUUGGACCGCAGCUGGGGCUGUCUUGCUGUUUUCAGACUUGGGAGACGAGGUGGCUGUUGUAAUUGCCGAUCCUGUGAGAAUGUGAAACUGGAUAAUAUAUGAAAUGCAAAAUAAAAAAAUUAUGCAAAGUAA
rnacentral:lncRNA from 1 species